UACGGGGGGGCAAGCGUUGUUCGGAAUUACUGGGCGUAAAGGGCUCGUAGGCGGCCAACUAAGUCAGACGUGAAAUCCCCAGGCUUAACCUGGGAACUGCAUUUGGGACUGCAAGGCUGGAGUACGGCAGAGGGAGGUGGAAUUCCACGUGUAGCAGUGAAAUGCGUAGAGAUGUGGAGGAACACCAAUGGCGAAGGCAGCCUCCUGGGCUAGUACUGACGCUCAUGCACGAAAGCGUGGGGAGCAAACAGG
rnacentral:rRNA from 1 species